UGCAGUCGAACGAACUCUUCGGAGUUAGUGGCGGACGGGUGAGUAACACGUGGGAACGUGCCUUUUGGUUCGGAAUAACUCAGGGAAACUUGUGCUAAUACCGAAUGUGCCCUUCGGGGGAAAGAUUUAUCGCCAUUAGAGCGGCCCGCGUCUGAUUAGCUAGUUGGUGAGGUAAAGGCUCACCAAGGCGACGAUCAGUAGCUGGUCUGAGAGGAUGAUCAGCCAAAUUGGGACUGAGACACGGCCCAAACUCCUACGGGAGGCAGCAGUGGGGAAUCUUGCGCAAUGGGCGAAAGCCUGACGCAGCCAUGCCGCGUGAAUGAUGAAGGUCUUAGGAUUGUAAAAUUCUUUCACCGGGGACGAUAAUGACGGUACCCGGAGAAGAAGCCCCGGCUAACUUCGUGCCAGCAGCCGCGGUAAUA
rnacentral:rRNA from 1 species